rnacentral:lncRNA from 1 species
AGCACUGUCAGAAGGCAGAGAGACCAAGAACACAAUGUCUUCUACUUCAGUACACUAGAGUAUUCUUUUGGAAUCUGGAAUGUGGAUAACAUGCUACCAAUGCUAUCCUUGCAUUCUAUUCUUACUUUAGAAAUGUUAAAAAAAAAAAAAAAAGCACAAAAAACAACAACUAAAACAGUUGGAGGAAAUUGCUUCUAGCAUUGUGUAAACAUGUCUUUUUCUGAGCCUCAGUUUCUUCAUUUGUGAAAUACACACAACCUAAAAGACCCAUUUCAGUUCAAUUGUCCUUUUGCCUCUUAGUUCCCAAUCUGAGAGAGCAAAUUAAAUAGCUAGAGCCAUUUCUUAGAAGGGACGUCCUGGGAAGUGCUUUUUCAAAAGAAUUCGCUUUCUUCCUACAGUCACUCCUUGCUCUGUGUUCAAGUCACAAUCAAGGGCAUUACUGUCCAAUCAACUGCACAAGGUAGAACUCAAGUGAUCACCCUUGACAAGUUGCUCUCCUUCAGCCCAAUGAGUAUUAUGUUAGUUGUAGGUUUUUCAUAAUUGCAUUUUAUCAGAUGGAGAAAGUUAAAUUAUGUUCGUAUUUGGCUAAGAGCUUUAUAAUAAUUGGGUAUUGGAUUUUGUCAAAUGCUUUUGACUGUAUCUAUUGACAUAAAAAUGUGUCUUUUGUUAAUACUGUAAAUCACAUUGAGUCAUUUUUGAAAGUUUAACCAAACUAAGAUUUCUGAACUUUUAUGGAUUCAGAUUUUACUAUUUUUUAAAACUAAAUAUGAAAUACUUAAAAGCAGAAAUGAUGACAGCCAUGAUAAUUAGGAAUUAAUUUUUAAGAAGGCUAAAGCAAAAAUGAAUUAUAAUUAACUUUUAAAAUUAAACAUAUAUGCAUCCAUGUUUAAGACUUUUAUUUUAUUACAGAGAAAGCUAAAACGAAGA